rnacentral:rRNA from 1 species
GUCAAAAAAAUAGGUUAAAAUAAUUAAGGGCACACAAAGGAUGCCUAGGUAGUAAGAGCCGAUGAAGGACGUGGUAAGCUGCGAUAAGCCUAGAUAAGUUGCAAUCGAACGUAAGAGUCUAGGAUUUCCGAAUGGAGCAAUCUAUUAAGAUGGAGUCUUAAUACGAAAGAGGGAACCGCGUGAACUGAAACAUCUAAGUAACGCGAGGAAAAGAAAGUAAAAACGAUACCCAAAGUAGCGGCGAGCGAAAUGGGUCAAGCCUAAACCUUAAAUAUGUCAAGGAUACAGCCGUUGUAUUUAAGGGGUUGAGGGACAGAGUAGUGAAGAACNNNNNNNNNNUCCUGUAUAAGUAAAUCCUUACACAUAUAACUUUGCUCCCAAGUAACAUGGAACACGAGGAAUUCUGUGUGAAUCUGUGAGGACCAUAUCUCAUAAGGCUAAAUACUCUUACUAACCGAUAGCGCAUAGUACCGUGAGGGAAAGGUGAAAAGAACCCCUGGAGGGGAGUGAAAUAGAACCUGAAAUUGUGUGCUUACAAGCGGUCAGAGCCCAUUUGGGUGAUGGCGUGCCUUUUGGAGAAUGAUCCUGCGAGUUACGUUAAACGGCGAGGUUAAGUAUAACGG